UGUCGCUUCUGCUCCUGUUCGUGAGAAGAGGGGAAGUCAUGCGGUAGCUAUAACGCCCGUCUUAAACCUGUCGCUUCCCUGCUUGAGCCGAAGAGUUCUCGGGGAAGUUUGCCUAAGCGGGUCUUCUUCCGACGGGACUCGGAUCCUCUCAGCUCGGAGAGAUUGUUAGACAUUGGCAUGAGAGGAGACACGGGCUAAGAAUAGGAAUGCCAAGAUUGCAGGUUGAUCAACAAGUGACAUGUUUUCCAAGGGGGCAUCAGAGAGGCUCUCUUACCUUCUUUGUUGCUGCAAGCUCCUCCUCCAAAGCAUCCACACGCUUCACAGCGGCAUGCAGUAUCUCUUCCUUCUCAGCCGGCAACUCUACAGGCUUCGCACUGAGUUCAGCCACCUUCUCUUCAAGCUCACUGAGGCGCUUCACGACACCAGAGAACUCAGCAGCUGAGACGGCCGGUGCAGACUGCUCGCUCUGUUGCAUUUGGCCUUUAAGCAUCGUGCCGGCCAACUCAAGAGACCUCGCGUAGUCGAUAUCUGCAUUAGACAUCUUCUUUGGCACGGUGUUGCCUCCUACGCGGAUCAUGGUGACAAGUCCCAUGACAAAGGCCAUAACUCCAGCCAACACAUGGUUGCUGACUCCAUCUGGUCCUCUGUAGAUUUCAGAUAGAUUGUAGGCACCUGCAGUGAAAGGUGGAUCAUUGGAAACUCAUCAGUGGAAAUCUCAACAGUUCCAAUGUGUAAUCGGCUAAGGAUGAUGAUGAUAUGGACCUUUGGACAUGGCAAACUUUUGACUAAGCAUUUGCUUCUUCCAGGUUGCAUCCAUAGCCUUGUCCACAAUUGGAAUCAGAUCAUUAUAUGAGUAGGUUGGGAAUUCCUUGAGUGCAGCCUCGACGUCCAAAUUCUUCUGGAAAGGUAUUAGUGUUAGAAAUGAUAAGAUCAAUAGCAACUGCAAGUCUGAUUCACUUGGAACUUUGAAUCCUUUUGUGUUCCUGAAAUUUCAGAUACUGAAUUCUUGAUGAGUUCAGUAAUAUCAUGGAGUUCUACUUUUGCUUAACAGAUGUAUCAGGAAGAAGUUCCAGUCAGUAUCUCUGGCUCAAUCCACAAAGGGAAAAUAUUACUUCUGUUCCAAGUUGAUUCAUUUGAUGAAGAUUAAUUUAGUUUUUGUGGUGCUAAUCAACAACUAAAGAUUACCUCAGCUUCUGUAUUGCUGACUUCUUCAUGAAGAGGUGACAAUUGUGGGUGCUCAAUCUGACUCCUUGACAUCUUGGGAGAAGCAGAGGACAUUUCAUCAGCAGCAAAGGCAGAUGGCCCUCGGAAAGACUCGUGCCUCUUCAUGUUGGGGAAAUUUUUUUGUCAGUGAUCAGAAACAUGAAGCUCCAAUGAACAUUAACACAGGAAGAAAUGGUGAUUAAUUAUCACCUUUGAAUACACAAUGUCAUCCUCAGAAAUGGUCUUCUCCUCAACUGCAGGAGUCAUUUGUUGCCUUCCACAUUGUCCCAUACCACUCUGAACCAUCUGUGUAUGCCGUGAAUUCAUCGAAAUCGUGCUUAAAAUGUUAAUGCAAUUGUUUUGAGCAUACAAUUAGUGCAAAAACGGAGGAGAAGAAAACCUCACCUUUAAGAUCUCAGGGUCCUUCCAUGGGCCCUUGUCUGAUCGAAGACAACCUCCUUCACAGUUGCAGGUGCCACCAAGGAACUCCGGCAACUCACUUGUAAAUCCCAAAAGACUUAUGAUCAAACACAACUAUUUCUCAAAAGCUUGCAGUAAGAUUUGUUCAUCAUCUAUUGGAAGAUACCUGGCAUCAAUCACUUCAAGCAGCUUGCUCUGCUUACAUGGAUUUUCGCGGUGGUCUUUGGGUCAAGGAAGGACUUGACAGUGUUCCAAAGCAGUCUGAAUCCCUGUCCUGCAUUGACGAUGAACAUGCGGCACAAAGUCUGCAGUUGGGGAAAGAAUCACACCUCAUGAUCACUUGAAAUGCCAUCAGUACAUUUUGUUGAAUUGUUUCAUUCCCUGUCAUCAAAAGCCAUUCCAUACACAUUCUGAUUCGUGAACAUCACCGGAGGAGGAUAGGAUCUGAGAAGGGAAAACAAGGCAUCUGAUGCAUACCACUCCUUGCACAUCAAUGAUGGUCGUGCUCUGGUCGAUGUGCCGUUUUGCUGCAAUCGAACAGGCAGGAAACUUGACGACGAAGGUCCUCUCAAACUCCUUCACAUGGCCGGCCUUCCUUAUCGACUCCAUGGUGGCCUUGCGGGUAGUAUUCCAAGACUUCCCCGAGUUCCUUGAAAUCAAAAUCCUAGUAGGAGGAACACGUAUCAGAGCUACAAUCUUAUGAGUUGAAGCCGGUAGAACAGUCAAUAAAAGGAGGAGUUACAUCCAAAAUUGUGUCAGCUCCAAAUUCCUUCCUCCAUUGGAGCAUAUCAGUCCACAUUUGCUUUGUCUUCUCAAUGUCAAAUUUCCUGGCCUUGAGAAAUCUGCACCACAGAGACGCCACACUGAGUAUCCAUUGCUCCAUGGAUUUGAGCUGUGAAGUCAAGAGUAAUGUGUCCAAGUGAAGAGGAAAACCUGAGCAUUGUAUGGUAAUCAUCAUGCCUAGAAGGUAGCAUCUCCUCCAGAAUAAGAAUCUGACGGAAGGCAUCAACAGCCUGCAUCUCCUCGGCAUCACGCACGUCCUCGAUGGAGACAGACAUGACUUUGCUGCUCCUUCUUCCUCUUCUGUUCAAAGAAUUCCUGUACUUUGUGGAGGCAUUCAUUGCCUUCUUCGUUAGAGACUCGAUCUUAUUUCUCCUCUCAUCCUCGGAGUUCUCGACAUCUAUGUUACAUAAUUGAGAUCAUUAAAAGAAAUCUUGGUUAUAGA